rnacentral:tRNA from 1 species
GAAAUGUAAAUUUCAGCUUCUAACUGAAUACUAACAGAAUAAUUCUGUACAUUUCU